rnacentral:rRNA from 1 species
GAAUAUUGCACAAUGGAGGAAACUCUGAUGCAGCGACGCCGCGUGAACGAUGAAGGCCUUCGGGUCGUAAAGUUCUGUCCUGGGGGACGAUAAUGACGGUACCCCAGGAGGAAGCCCCGGCUAACUACGUGCCAGCAGCCGCGGUAAUACGUAGGGGGCGAGCGUUGUCCGGAAUUAUUGGGCGUAAAGGGUUCGUAGGCGGUUUUUUAAGUCAGAUGUGAAAGGUCACGGCUCAACCGUGGUAAGCAUUUGAAACUGAAAGACUUGAGUUAAGGAGAGGAAAGUGGAAUUCCUAGUGUAGCGGUGAAAUGCGUAGAUAUUAGGAGGAAUACCAGUGGCGAAGGCGACUUUCUGGACUUAUACUGACGCUGAGGAACGAAAGCGUGGGGAGCAAACAGG